UACAGCGGUCUCAAGCGUUGUUCGGAUUCAUUGGGCGUAAAGGGUGCGUAGGUGGCGCCAUAAGUCAGGUGUGAAAUCUCGGGGCUCAACCCCGAAACUGCACUUGAUACUGUGGUGCUCGAGUACUGGAGAGGAGAUUGGAAUUUACGGUGUAGCAGUGAAAUGCGUAGAUAUCGUAAGGAAGACCAGUGGCGAAGGCGAAUCUCUGGACAGUUACUGACACUGAGGCACGAAGGCCAGGGGAGCAAACGGG
rnacentral:rRNA from 1 species